rnacentral:misc_RNA from 1 species
UCUCCGUAGUUGAACAUGCGGAGGGAUCAUUACUGAAUGAGGGGCUCAGGGCCCGACCUCCAACCCUUUUGUGAACCACCUCGUUGCUUCGGGGGCGACCCUGCCGUUCGCGGCGUGGGCCCCCCGGAGCCCAUCAAACCCUGCGUAACUGAGUCGUCGGAGUUUAAACAAAUUAAACAAAACUUUCAACAACGGAUCUCUUGGUUCGGGCAUCGAUGAAGAACGCAGC